rnacentral:rRNA from 1 species
UACAUAGGGUGCAAGCGUUGUCCGGAAUUAUUGGGCGUAAAGAGCGCGUAGGCGGUUUGGCGCGUCUGCUGUGAAAACUCGGGGCUUAACCCCGGGCCUGCAGUGGGUACGGGCAGACUAGAGUGCGGUAGGGGAGACUGGAAUUCCUGGUGUAGCGGUGAAAUGCGCAGAUAUCAGGAGGAACACCGGUGGCGAAGGCGGGUCUCUGGGCCGUAACUGACGCUGAGGAGCGAAAGCGUGGGGAGCGAACAGG